rnacentral:rRNA from 1 species
GAUGAACGCUGGCGGCGUGCCUAAUACAUGCAAGUCGAGCGGACAGAUGAGGCUCUUGCUCCUCUGACGUUAGCGGCGGGCGGGUGAGUCACACGUGUAUAACCUACCUAUAAGACUGGGAUAACUUCGGGACACCGGAGCUAAUACCGGAUAAUAUAUUGAACCGCAUGGGUCAUUGGUGAAAGACGGUUUUGCUGUCACUUAUAGAGGGUUCCGCGCCGCAUUAGCUAGUUGGUAAGGUAACGGCUUACCAAGGCAACGAUGCGUAGCCGACCUGAGAGGGUGAUCGGCCACACUGGAACUGAGACACGGUCAAGACUCCUACGGGAGGCAGCAGUAGGGAAUCUUAGGCAAUGGGCGAAAGCCUGACGGAGCAAGGCCGCGUGAGUGAUGAAGGUCUUCGGAUCGUAAAACUCUGUUAUUAGGGAAGAACAAAUGUGUAAGUAACUAUGCACGUCUUGACGGUACCUAAUCAGAAAGCCCCGGCUAACUACGUG